AUUGAACGCUGGCGGCAUGCCUUACACAUGCAAGUCGAACGGUAACAGGGAGCUUGCUCCGCUGACGAGUGGCGAACGGGUGAGUAAUGUAUCGGAACGUACCCAAGAGUGGGGGAUAACGUAGCGAAAGUUACGCUAAUACCGCAUACGACCCAAGGAUGAAAGUGGGGGACCUUCGGGCCUCAUGCUCCUGGAGCGGCCGAUACCUGAUUAGCUAGUUGGUGAGGUACAGGCUCACCAAGGCGACGAUCAGUAGCUGGUCUGAGAGGACGACCAGCCACACUGGAACUGAGACACGGUCCAGACUCCUACGGGAGGCAGCAGUGGGGAAUUUUGGACAAUGGGGGCAACCCUGAUCCAGCAAUGCCGCGUGAGUGAAGAAGGCCUUCGGGUUGUAAAGCUCUUUUGUCAGGGAAGAAACGGGUUUGGCUAAUAUCCAGAUCUAAUGACGGUACCUGAAGAAUAAGCACCGGCUAACUACGUGCCAGCCGCCGCUGUAAAAC
rnacentral:rRNA from 1 species